ensembl:lncRNA
CAAUUUCUCCUUUAAAUUUCACAACGAACCAUUAGAAACUCAUCUCAGAGUGUGGAUUCCAACCAGAUUUGUGUUGUGUCUUCAACUUGGGCGUUCAUGCACUCGUGAAUGUCAUGUGGGAAAAGUUACAUGCCUCAGUAACAUUGAGGCAGGCGCUCACCGCGAGGCUGGAAGUGUUCUUGGUGAUGGAGCUGAGACACAUGAAUCUACCGAGGGCAGGAGUGAAAGGCAAUUCGGUGCAGAUUUUGUAACAGAGAGGAGGCAUGGAAGAUGGUUAAUGUGACAACAAUUGCUGAGAAGGUCCCCAGGAGUGAAAUGGAGAACUGCAGACCGUCACAUUGGAGUCUGUACAGAGCAACAGGGUGGAAGUGGCAAUGCUGUGGCUGAGGGAGGCAGAGGUUGGCGGCCAGGGGCUGGAGCAGCAGCCACAUCCUCGAGUUGCAGCAGCGCAGUUUGAUGCUGUGGUUGUGCCAGGGCUGGCUGAGAACUGCAGUCCUCUCAAGCUGGUGGAAGAGCUACAGUGCAAUUUGUGCUGUUUUUCCUCAGUGAAGCAGUAGGAGCCCCUGUCAGGCAAGGAGCACAGUCCUGAUGAUGUAGGGAGCAGUGGAGGAUGUGGGCACAGCAGGAGAUGUUGAAGUGCCCCAAAGUGAUGACCAAUCAAUGUUAAACCUCAAGGAGGCUCUAGGGGCCUGAGCAUCCCAUUAUUGAUGCUUGCUGCUAAGAAUAACUGCUUUUUCACCUCUUGUCCACCCCUCUACCAGCCGCUUGAGGCCACCAUUUUAGACUUCAGCUGAAGCUGCAAGGAGUUAGUGAUCUUGUUUUCCAGAGACUAUUUGAAGUAGAAAGAACUGGAUUUUGCCUUCAUUUACGCCUCGAGGAGCUGCCACAGGAGGAGGGGCCAGUGUUUGCCAGCUUGCUCUGCUCCCUGCAGCCCUCACUGGGGAGCCGCGCCACAGGAAAUGCUGAGCAGGAAUCAGGCAUGAGAGCAUCGUGCUGGGUUGGUUUUCCUCUUGGAAACAGAAGGUGGAGCAAGGCACAACGGACAAGUGCAUCUACAGCUUGUGUGAGAUUUUGCGCUGUCUCAUUUGGAUUGUAUCUCAAGGAGGAUUUAGAGGAGCUUGCAAGCUGGAGAUCUGCUGACUUCCCAAAGCUCGCAGGCAGCACUCUUCCCCUGCAUGUGACGUGUGCAUUGCCCUCAAAUUCAGAGGAUGGCUCACAGCUGCUGUGACCGCAACCAGGACGUAUGUGGGGCUGAGAGCUGCCCACGGGAGCCAGGAGCAACGACCAGAAGCAGAGAAAACAAAAAGGGGUCCAAAUCUGAACUGCGCUGAUGCUUGCGUGUGCGUUGACCCGGAUUAGAGACCUGGACUCUGGCCUGCCAACUCCAUCAGCAUAGAAAUUUUGUUCAAAACAGCAUUAUAAGUUCGUGUGCUUUGCUUUCAGAUAGCGAGGCAAAGGCAUGCGGAUAUUUACAAUCUGCUUUAGGAAAACCUGAUAGAAGUUGUUAGCUGUUCUGUUGCAAAGGCAGUUUAUGUCACCCACAUCUGCUGCUGAAGGUACCCAGCCAGACGGCUGGCACGGCGCGAAAUGCCAGCGACCACACUGGCUGCAAUGAGGAGACGAAAAUGAAAGAAGGAUGAAGACCUCAUAAGCUUUAUCAAAAGCCACCAAAAAGUUGGGAGAUUUGGGGAUUACAUCGUGUAAUUAUAUUACCUUAAAGAAAAGUUUACUGAAGAUUUCCUGUUUUGUGUUGCCAGCUCUUUUCAGCCAUUAGUAACACAUAACUUCUCAUUGUCUUUUCCCGAGGCACAGAUGGGCUAAUUUUCAGCUACCUGAUAAUUACACAUUGUUUGAAACUGUAUCAAAAGCUUCUGUUCCUGUAUUUCUCCAGCAGCUGUGCUACAGCUCACCAAGUCCCUUGAUCACGGCUUGCAAGGGCCCACAUACAUCCAUCUGUCUGGAAUGGAGUGGCAAAGCCUCCAUGGUGGCAUUCACACUUUGCGGGUUGCUGGGAUUCUCUGUUCUCAAGGGGAGCAGUUUGCUGUUGUGCACCAUCUCUAGUCUCUUCAGGGAACUGCCAGUUCUGCAUUUCCUUACAGCAUAUUUCCAUCCAAGAGAGCUUCUCCACAGCUUCCCUGAUCUGUCAGACGCUCAUUAUUUUGUUAUUUCCAUUCUCCUGUGUGAUUGUGCUGGUGGGAAGAGACACUCAGGUAGCUUUUCCUUUUGGGAUGUGAAUUAAGGACUAGCCUGAUAGGGCUGCAGAACUGAAAGGGGGCCACUGGAAAACUCCCAAAUCCUUCUGGCGGUGGGACCCUCAGGUGGGACCAAGUGGGGACUGCAGCAGAGAGAGUGCUGCUUGGAGAACAGAUCCAGAAUUGGAUGGGCCUUCUAUGCAGGGCAGCACAUAGGAAGGGGUGAUCUGCAGCAGCCCACCCCCUACACUUUAACACCUCCUGGGAGCAUUCUCCAUGCACGUCAGGACCAAGAUGACAAACUCAGGUCUGCUAAUGCCUUGACUCUUCAGGUUAUAUUCAUACUGUCAGCUUAGGAGAAUGACAACGCUCCCCACCUGCAGAGCCCUGUGUCGAGGUGGGUUUGGCUGGAUUCUCCGCACAGCGGCACCACCCACUCAACUGACAUUUACUGUGCUGGCCUGAAUUCCUUCACUUUUCCCCCAUGGCCAUUUGGAGUCAAGUGCCACUGGAAACACGGCUCCCGCCGGGAGGAGUUUCAGAUGCAUUCAGAUCUGAGACAGUUUUGAAUGUAAUUUUGAGUUUUACAAAGGCUCUUCCGCUCGCCUGCUUGCCGCAAGUAAUGAAGCAGCAAGAUAAAAGGCAAGGCCACGGAAGGUUGUUAAAAAAUUACUUGCAAAUUAAUGUGAGGACAAGGUGUAUGAGUUAAUAUCAUAUAAAGACCCUUAAAAUCGGCGUACAUGCAUGCACCCUCCGAGCACUGACAUUCGCAGGCAGAACUACACUGGUAAACUGAGCCCAAGGGGCUUGAUUAACAGGAAAUUUUCAGAAUGCCAAUUAGAGCAAAGUUUACCGAACAAAUUGUUUGCACUUGUACCCUAGAACCAUCAUGAAUUUUAAUUCAGCAUGGAUUUACGUGGCUGAAACAAUAAUUAAAGAUACAUGAACGCUUCACGUUCGGGAGACUCCCCCAUGGCUCCACUGCAUUGGGUGGGAGCAGGGUGGCUGGGCAGGGGCUGCUGCUGCCAGGCUGGCAGACGUGGGAUGCACGUGGCUUUUCCCUACAGAUACAUAAGCAGUUUCCCUAGUCCUGAGCUCGCCGAUUUGUGCAGUGUUAGUCUCUUGUUUCCUUAUUCUUUUUUCCUUCUUUUUUUUUUUUUUUUUUUUCCCUUUAUGCAGUUUGAUAAAGAAUGAUCCACGGGGUGUUUUCUCAGUAAAUGCUGGCUUGUUGUUUCCUGCCUUUCACUUUUGGUGCUUGGGAGAUGUUAAAUUAGUUCCUCAGCUCCCCUGAAACCAAAGCCUUGUGCAGUAGUUUCGCUGGCCCUGGGCUGACCGAGGGCUCCUUUCUCUCCUCAUCCCCACUCCUCUUCUGGGGUCAGAGGUGGGGAGAAGCCUCACCGCUGCCAUAAUGCACCGAGCAGCUCAACUCAAGGCAAAGCUACCACACAGCAGCAACGAAAAGUCACGAUUGAGCAGCACAAUGUAUAUGUAUGCCUUCAUUUAAAUUCUUCUCUCCCUCUACUAGUGCUGAUAAAUAAGUUACACGUAUUUUUUAGAAGAAGUUAUUUUCUGUCACUGCACUUUUAAAUGUCAAGCUCCUGGAGAGGAGUCUUCAAGAUAGUUUAAGGUCAGUCAGGCUUCAAGGAAGAAAGAUGCAGGUGGAGAAGAAAAGCUGCUGUUGUGCUGUGGUCCAGCCCAAAGCAGGGCUCCACUCUGAGCGAUGGGCAAGCACAGGCACCUUGAGUGGAGAUGGUGCCCAGAGGCAUUGCCCUCCCUGCACCUCAGCACUCACCCUCGGCUAUGGAAUUACCGAAGACUUCUACACAAAGCCCACUGGCUGGAAAUGAUCUAGCCUGUUAGUUCAGGAGCGCUCAUGAAUAAUGUAUGCAUCCAAAGGUCGGUUUACAAAUGAUUAAUUAACCUUAUGAGAGGUUAUCCUCAUUGGCAACAUCAUUCACCCUAAACAGCUUAAUCAUGUCUGCGCAGAACAGCAUAUCUGAAACACAAACAAUUGUAUGAGAAGGAAUAUUGAGGAAUCAUAGAGCAAGGGCCAGACAUCUGCACUGCUCACUGGAGCAGCGACCGAACGCCAAGCACAGGGAGGACCUGAACCACAUCUCCAGGCUGUUCUGUAGGACUCGAGCAUCACUUGCUGGAACCUGGCGGCUGCAUGGUGGGGUGUAGCUGGCAAGGUGCAGAAAUUGCACCUUCGCUAAGGGUCGAACCCAAGAAUGACAGAGGGAUGUCUGAAGCACAACUUUGAUAUGGCACAAAGCUCUAAACUGAGGACAGUCAUCCCUACAAACACCUCCCAGCCUCUGUGCCUCAACGCUAAGUCUAGGGGAAGACUCCUCUCAUGCUCGUGGGCUCAGCCCAGAAGUAAUGGGGAGCCCAUGCCACAGCUCUGCUAUCUGCUGGUGGAACACCAAGCCCUUCCCGCAUCUGUCUUCUGGCUGCCACAACCUCACUAAAUCAUUCCAUUUUAAUGCAUAUAUUUAUGCUUUUUUUUUUUUCUUUUAGAAGCAUGAAAGUGAUUUACAACAUUUUACACUACAUUUUUUAAUCCUUCACAAUUAAAACAAAUCUUCCCCCCCCCCCCCCCCCGCUUUGCCUAUUUUUAAAAACAUGUCUUUUGUUCAGCUCUUGCAGAAAAAUAUGGAUGGAAGCAACUCCUAAAAUCCCCAACCACAGGAAACAAAAUUGGUGUUUUUCCAAGUUAAGUACUAUAACAGAGUGAAACAUACAUGUUUAAUUUGAAAAUGUUGAUUCCAAAUGGAUUUUUCUUUUGAAAAAACUUCCCCCAAGCAAGUCAAUAUUUGUAAUCAAAUUGAAAUUUCCUGUGGGAAUUAUUUAUUUUCAUGAGGUCUAAUUUUUACAGGGGAAAAUUCUGCACAGGAAGGUUUAAGUUGCUGUAAACCAGCGUUAGGAAUCUGGGUGGUAGGAGGGGGGCUGGGAAAUCCCACUCUGUGCUGCAAAGUGUCACCACUUCCCUGUGAUGGAGGUGUUGUGAUGAAAAAGUUGGAACUCCUCUUUGAAGAGGGAAAAGCAUGAGCAGAAAGGUGAGAAAUUGGGAAGGAAGGAGCAUUCAGUUCGCUAGAUUUUUCCUCCCCCCUUUAUUUCUUGAGAACACAGCAGUGUGGGAUAGGACUCACCACGAGCAACGCUAGAGAUGGAAGUGAGAUACCCAAGAUGGCUGUUCUGAGCCUCCUGUGCUGGGGCGCCCUGUAGUUCACCUACCCUUAUUCUGCCAUCUGUUGGAAGAAGUGGGUCAUGCCAUUGACUUCAGUUGCCUUGAGGAGACACGGGGAUAAGAGCAACUGGUCCACGUCCACUGUAACCAUACAAAUCCCACCCACAGUGCUUGACGUGUUCAGGGGUACAGGGGGAGUGUGCAACCCUGUGCCUUGUGCAGCCGUUACUACACUGAUGGGACUCUCAGCCAGUUCUCCAAACCUCAUGAGAAGAGAGCAUGUUGGUCUUCCAGCAUCUACAAGGAAGCCCUUCAAAGACAGUUGUCAUGGCUUCAUCCUAAGGGCGAUUUUCUUGUAGAACCUGUGUCCACUGUAGAGCAACGACUGUGGCUAAUGAUGUGCAUAAUUUACAUUAUUAUACCUUUCAUUUUUGUAUUAUGAUAAAUCACCUACCUUCCCAUUUCUUUUUAUUGUGAUGUGCUGGGAACACAAUAUAGCAGGAGGAAAACAAUACAGCGCUGCCCCUGUCAGUCUCAAACACAGAAGCAGCACACCCAUGCUACAAACACUCACAGAUGCACAGCACCGUAUCAGAUUAUUAGCUCCAAGGCAACUGUCAGCAUGCAGUUUUAUUGGAAAUGAAAACAAGGUAAUUCAAGAUUUAUUUUCUCUCUAAGGAAGUGCCAGGAGGCAGGAGCCAGCCCCCGGCAUCUACCGUAAAACACCCGGCGCAUGGUAACGUGCUGCUCCUCAAGCAGAGCUCCUGGACUGGGGAUUUUUUGAGUGAUCUCUUCCAAAAGAGGAGAAUUCUCCUCCUUGUCCCCAGACUGUAUCCUGAAGGGAGUGAUGUAGAUUGAGUGACUUGAGUUUUGCUUUACCUAAAGGGAGAUAAAUGCACCCUACACUACUGUGGCUGCAGGCACAGCUCCUGGGAGACAUCGGGUGGCUCUUAAUCACAUAUCCUUGAAGCUUCAGAAACAUACCCUGAUUAUUUUCCGGCUCAAAGCAUUCAUUGCCUCCAGGAUAUUACCAUCUUUGCCCCCUUUCUAAUGGUUUAGGGUGAACUGAUUACCAAAUUAAAACCCUUAUUAGCAGCUAUCUUGGUAUGUCGUGCCCUGAUUUUAUUGCUGUGCCCAAAAGUGAUACGUGCCUGGGCACCAAGACAGGCACAUGCUGUGCCCAAGCUGAAAAUAUUUAGGAACUGGUAGGAAAAUCACAGGAAAUAUUUCUGAGUGAUUAAUUUAGAGUCGUUGAAGACCGUUCUAAAAGAUGCUCUAAAUGUGUUCAUACCAGCUGCACUGGUUAAAAAGGCAAUGGAAAAAUACACCUUGGUUAGAUGAAAGGUGAAAGAAGCAAUAAAAAAGCAUAAAACAACCUAUAUAAUAAAUGGGAUAAGAGCAAACCAACAGCAACAAUUAUUGGUCAGAAGGCAAGAGAUGCGAACAGUGCUUGACAAUAAGCUGUGUCAUGAAAAGAGCCUUAAUGGAGAUGGAGAGGCAGCCUCCACGUCCGGGUGUUUGGGUUCGCAGCGAUGCUGGCAGUCCUGCAAAGAGGGAGCCCAGCAGGGCUGCUCCGGUGUGUCGGUAAUUUCAAAUGGAGGCUUGCUGUCAUGUUUUGGACUGUGCUGAACUGUUAAUGAAACAUGCCUGCCUCCCCCUAGGUGUGUGUAUUUCUUUAAAAUCUGAAAAACAAAGCUUGGAAACCUAACUCUUCAGACUAAAAUGAGAAAAAAAAGAAAAAAAAAAAAAGCUUCUUUUCUUAGUGUGUCAUCAAUCUUUUUUAAAGGUCUUCCCAGCUCUAUCAUCACUCAGAGAUGCAGGAAGAAGAUCCUGCAGGGCACUGUGGAAAGAUCCGCAUCCAGCAGUACUGUUUGGACAGUCGUACUCGACCAUCAUUUCCCAAACGUGAGAUGUUCAGCUGCUGCUCAGGAUGUCCCCACCAAGGGGAGCAUCCCUCCUUGGACACUGAUCUCUGCAGUCCUGAUGCUGAAUUAUUCUGGGAAGGAGUAUCAGGGGAACAAAUUAGUGAGGUGUUCUUACCAGAAAAUCCCGUGGCUACAGCUACCUGCAAGCAACAGGGCCCAGAGACUUGUACUUCCCUAUUCUGAUGCCUAAGCUUGAGGUUUGCCAGCACCUCUUGGUGAGCAGGAAGCCUCCAGCUGUGUUAGCUCUUCUGGCAUGGCAAUUGCUCCAAAGGAGUUUCUCCAUCCUCCCUAUCUUUGCCUUAGUGGAAGGCUGAGAAGCCCUUGGCUGCCAGCCAUUCCAAUACAUCUUGCAGGUAAUCCAUAGUUUCCUGGGUCAGAGCAGCUUCUCAGCAGCAAUCCUCUACUCUUAAAGUCAGUCCCCUUUCCUAGGUGGGAUACUUCUGCAGCACAAUCCCGUGUUCUGCCCUGGGUGAAGUUAGCCAGGACUUUGCACUCUCAAGGUCUUCAUCCAAAGCAGAAGUAACACAGCAAAAUGGACGUCAUGCUCAACCAAGAAGUAGUUGACACUAUCAGGACUUGGAGGAAUUAAAAUAAAUGACCAAAGUAAUUUUUGGCAGAGGACUCGAUUUCAAAGGACAAUGCACUGUCCAUUCUUCCCAGGGGAUGUUCUGGGAUAGACCUGCAUGAGUAACCUACAGCCAUUUUGAGCCAUCCCCUACUGCCCUCAGCAAGAACUUUCUGACCAAAACUUCAGGUGGAACGUACCAGCUAAGUGUGCUCAAGAUAUAUCACCCAAAGGACUGACACCACCAGCAGGACCAAAAGGAUGAUGUGUUCAGCAUGCUCAGGUUGGGCUUCAUGCCCAAAGGCAGCUGGUUUGUCCUCAUGGGGCAAGUCCUGCAUUGCCCAGGAACCACACUGUGCAAAUCCAUCGUGGAGGCUAGAACACAUCCAUGCAUGGAUCCUGAAGACUAACCUUGUCCCCUUCUCCAGGUGCCUGGGAACCUUGGCCACACACACGUACAGACCAGCCAGGUGCUGCAGGAAGCAGCAGGAUGAUAGAUGGCACCUGCAAGCUGAGAGGUACACGCACAAAACCCAUUUUUUUCUCCGCAAGGUUCAAAUAUUUUUGCUCCAUCUGAGGCUUGGAUCCAGGUUCUCCUGCAUGGCAGUCAGAGAUGCUGGAAAAGGCUCAACAUUAGAGCUCAGGAAUGGGGGCUCAGGUUCUGUUCCCCAGCUUAGGGCAGUGCUGGUAAAGAUCUGCCCUCACCCAGGCGCCUGGGAAGCUUUUGGCUGCUGCUGGCAUUAGUGCAGAAAGCAAGAAGACAUUUACUUCCAGGAACAGAUGCAAACACGGGGAAUUGCCAAUUGGCCAAAAUCAAAUACAACCUGACCUCUGAUGAUCUGCAGCCUUACUACUUUCAAACAACACUGCACUCAAUAUUGGCAAUAUAAUAGUUUACCUUGGAGACCCAAGGGCUAAAGGAGAAAUGAAACCUGAAGCUGCUGGAGAUGUUGCUUUUCCACUGUUUCUAUUACCGAUAACAGGCCAGCAAAACCCCACGAGGUCCUUGAGCUCUAGGAGAGCCUGCCUGCACCUCCUCCCCAAGACUUCGUGCCAAAAUACCCCAAAACUUAAGAGCUGGGCUUUAUCAGAGCACCUGAUAAAUAUAGAAAGUAGAGAAUGAGCUGGAAUAGUGAUGUUCUACCCUGGGAGGAAGGUCCUUUCUUUUGGGUUUCCUUUCAGUCCUGCAACCUCCCAGCGAUCCCCUGGGUAAUCACAAAGCCUUGCUGCCCCCAGAAAAGCCCCUUUCUUUCCUUUGAAGGGGAGCUGACACCCACAGGGAACAAACCCUAAGUCAGAAAUAAUGGGAGUCCUUUGAAAAAAACCAAAAACAUCCGAGUCUGAAUAUAACCACAAGGAAAAAAAUGGAAACUUAUCUGCAAUAUGCACCCCCUCCCAAGCAAAUUAAUACCCUGGACCAGAGCCUUGUCCAGAAGCAGUGUAAAUAUCUCAGCAACUCAUUACCUUGUUAAUUGGAUCACUCCAAGCUUUUUGGAACCAGUCUAAAGCACAGUCAAAUCCAUUAAAAAAUGGAUUUCUUAUUUCUCUAUAGCUGUCUCUAGCUUUAGUGCUUUUUCUAUUAAACAUUGGCUAGAGUAGCUUCUCCCUUUACCUCAACUCUUUCCCAGCAAGGCACUUCCUACAUUUUUGAUGUGUGCCCUUCUUCCUGCCCCCGAGGUGCCGUGUGGGUGCUGGUAGGGUACGCUGGGAGCAAUAACCCUCCUCCUGCCAAACUGCCCCUCCUCAUCCUGUUCCCACAUCCUGGGAUCUCCCUCACUUGGAUGCUCCAACCCCAGCACAGAGGAGAAAUGCAUCCGGGGACACUCUGAGCUGCACUUUGCACUUAUUUCCUAAGAAACUAAAGAUGUGUGUGGGGGGGAACCAACACAUUGCUUCCAUCCCCUGUACAAACCUUUCACUUACCAAGGCAUCCACGUGCUUGCCUACUGAUUAAGAGCACUAGGGCCACUGUGUGAGAUUGGACACGACAGCAGCAUAAGGGGAGCCAUAUGCUCCGCCAGGAGAGGAGCAUACAGCCAUUAGGAGGGGGGCUGGUGCUCAGGGCCAUGGCUGAAGCUGCAGGGAUGUGGGUGCUGCUCCCCUCACAGUUCAGCCUUUCACAUCCCCAAGGACCAGCGAUGCCCUCACUGAGGGCAGUGCAAGGAGGUGGCAUCCAAGUACCAACCAUCUUUUGCACAGAGGGAGCCCCUCCAUUUGUUUUUCCAGGACCUAGCAGCCCAGCCUUCUCCUUGCCCUAUGAAAAAAACACUUGGCCUUCCUGCAGCAUCAGCAGCGCGGGGUGAUGGGACCCAGGGCUCCUGCUUCAGGCAUCCUCAAACUGCCACCAUGUCCCUAAGGCAGAGCACAGCCAGGGCCAGGCAAAAAGUCCUCCCACAACUGUGCUAAAACCUUUUAACAGCCAAGAACCAUUUUCUGCAUGGCGUGUCAAGCAGUAAAGCUGUUGAAUAGGCAGGGCCAGGGGUUGGUUUAGAGUGUAGCAGCAUGGAAUGCCUUUUUCCCAGCAGCUGUGGUGGUCAGGGAAGUCUUUAAGCCCCUUCACUGUUUUUCUGGCAGCACCUUCCCACAUCUGCGGGUCUGCACAGUGAACUGUAUCACUGGCACAGCUGGAGUUAAUUUCGACUUCUGAAAGAGGGAAGGAGGAUUAUGUUUAUAUAUAUGCAUAUAAAAAUGUGUAUUUUUAAACACAGGAAAUCCUGGUUCCUCCCUGGGGCUUGGCUGGAUGGGUCGCAGGGCCAAAGGAAAUGCUCUGCAGCAGCACCCUGCAUGCCAAGCACUUUACCAGGGCAGGUUUUUGCAGCUGUUGGGCUCCUUAUGUCCAUACCCAGCCUGCAAAGCACCCUGUGGCAUGGUGGGGAUAAACCUUGGUGAACAUGGCUGUCAUUGUGCUGCUGGAUGCGCGCCCUGAGGUCUCACCACAUCAUGCCAUGUGCUGGUGCUGCUGCUUGGCCAUCCAGCUGCUAUCCUGAGGGGAGCACAGAACCAUCCCCACCUCCUUCCACUCACCUCAACACCUCUCCGUUGUCCAGAUAAAGGAAACAGCAGAUGGUGUCCCACUGAGACCUGGUGUUACCCCUCUCUGUGCCCAGCAGGACAGCAGUGUCACAGCGGAGACACCGUGGUCUCCUCCAGCCUUCACCACAUUCCAGGCCCCUCAAAUCCAGCAGCAUGGAAAAACCUGCAAGAUGACAGAGAGCCCUCUUAUUCCUGCCGUAAUUAAUCCCUUUGGAAUUCAAUUAAUGAGCUCCCUGCUGCAGCUAUCAAGCCUCCAUCAGUUAGGCAAACAGGCGUGCAAGGCAGGCUGGGUCUGUAUGAGCACAAGACAAAUAUUUCAGCACGUCCAGAUAUAGCCCAUCCUUCUGCACUCUGUGCAGCUCAGCUUUAAGGUGUUACCCACUGGUGGGAACUUCAGGGCUCUGGUGGUGAUUGGAAGAACCUGUGCUCCCCUCUCACCCAUCCUGAUCGGAGAGCACCUGCCAUGGGAAUGGGCUGGGAUAUGCACUAGCAAUGGUGAACAACAGCCAACACUGCUGCCUUAUUUUUAUGGCUUUCUGACUUUUUCUACAAAUUUGGCUGGGCUGGAAGUGUGACCACUGAUGUGUUCUGAGCUGCUCUCCUAGGAUUUUGGAAGCGGGAGUGCUCGAUUCGGGCCACACAUUGCAGGACACCCAAUUUCAAACCCCAGCUCCUACAGUCUCAUCAGCUUCCCAGCCAGGCUGGCUGCUCAUCCAUCCCCGGUGCCCACCAGGGCCCAACAGCCCCAUAUGUGUGGGGAUGAACAAGCAGCAGCUGCAGCUCUAGUCUGGAGAGCUCAUCCCAGGGGUGCAGUUGAUGGAGCACCCCACUCCUGCUGCAGUGCUGGGAACUGCACGCUCCCACCACGAUGGAUAUUUCCCAUCAGCACACUCUAUUCAAAAUGAAACCCAUUAUGGCAAAGAAAAAAAAAAUCUUUAAUGAUUGUGCUGCAUCAACAUGAAUGAUGUCACAUGUCCAGACUGCCUCGGAAAGCACUGAGUUGCCAAAAGAUGGUGAAUGUCUUCAAUAUGGAGAGAGAGGGACCAGAGGAGAGGCUAAAACUGAAACUUUCCAGCUAUGCUGUUGAUACAUGUCCUUAUUUUCUUUUGUUGGAUAGCAUGCUCUGUUUUGUUUUGAAUACAGCGUUAUUGCAGCAGGGCUCUGUUAGCCCCUGGGGGUGGAUGCAUGGAAGUUGGCAGCACCUGCAUCCCUGCUCCCACCUCUCAUUUGCCCAGGAUAACCUGCAGCUUGGGCUCGGUGCAGACGUAGACCAAGAACCUGGUGGUUCUGUGUAACCUCAUCUCUCUCUCUCUCUAUAUAUAUGUGCCAUACGAACCCUAUUGCAAAAAAUGAUCAAUCCUUUUAAUUACUGAAUCUCAUGCAGUUCUUGAGAGCAGUGCCCUUGCACACUGAUGGCUUUGCCCUGGGGAAAGUUUGGGGUCUCUCCAGCUGUUCCCACCAUUGCUCGGUGUCACAAUCCAGGACACAGGUAACACGAGACCCUGCUGAAAUGCAGAUGGCAAUGCCAGAAGGCACCGAUGUGAGGCAUGGAUGCCAAGCAGCAAUUUGUUCUCUGUCAGGCACGGCCUCCCCAGCCUGGCCAAGCAAGAAGUGCUGCACUACAGGGGUGAAGGCAUUAUUUCUUACAAAUGCCCUUUUGGAACCCAAAUUUUCACAUUUGUACGCUCAUAUUUUGCAGUAGAGAUGGAGUGCAUCAUUUCCCUGCUUAAACAUCAUUUCAUUUGUAUUGCAUCUGGAUUCAUAAUGAAAUGAGUGUCGCAGCGACCCUGGUAAUUUUAUGGCUCUUUUACCAAUAUUCUGCUUGAGUCAUGGCGGUUUGACCGAGAGGAAAAUCCUGAAUGUCCAGAGCAACCCACAGCCUCACAAAUCACGAACCAAACCUUCCUCGUCACCUCCCACCCACUGCGACCCAACAAAUCAAAACGUCUCACGACUUUUUUAGAGAAUAACAAAGGCAAUAAACUUCUACAUCAAAGGCAAACCCCAGGCUCCCAAACUGCUUUUGGAAAUGCAUCUUUUUUCCAAGCUCAUAAGAAGUACCACACCACCUCUUUUUUUUUUCCCCCCUGUCAUUCCUGUAAAAUAUUUAGUGCUUUCUCUUCCCAAAUUUAUAAACAAGUUGGCUGAUUGUGCAGAUGAAAACUGGUUUAAAAAUUAAUUGAAAGCCUUUAAAAAUUAAUAAUUAUUUCAGCUAAUUAAGGGUGGCAGCUUAACAUCUUUUAAACUGUUAACAAUUUGGUAACUGCUGUGUGCAGUGCUGUUGGAAUAGAAAAUGGUGGGGACCGUGAGCUGAAAAAAUGUAGUCUUCAGUGUUUCAGACCCCGAGCAGGUUUUGGGCCCUUCUGCAUCGUCUGCGUUAUUAUUGGCAGCACUACCACAUCUAUCAAAAAAUGGAUCUCUACCAUCAUCGUUUUGCUAGAAUUUCUCAUGUUCCAGAUAAUUUAAAAUGCUUUCUUGUUGUCCAUAACGCAUUUGGAUACGGGUUUUUUAAAUGGAUACUUUCACUUCUCUCAUCAAUUGUUCUUUAUUUCAUAGCAUCUGAUUUUUAAUCACAACCAUUACCUUCCUCCUUUCCCUGAUUUGUUACUUAUUAUCUGCAGCUUGGCUCGCUCCUCUCGCUUCCAUUUUUUGCCAGGAUUUGUUGUGAUCUUUCCUUUGUGAUCAUCAUAAAUACGCUUGUCAGGAAGGAACUGAAACAAAGAGCAUUUAUAGCUCUGAGAAUUUGAGAGUUUUCUGUUUUCCAAUAAAUCAGUUGGCAGAGCUGUAAAAACGUGCAGCAUGUGUGAGAACUGACUGUUGGGUUUGGCUGUAAGGGCUUCCAACUCUUUAUUGCAGCUGAAUUGGGCAGUUGAUACCCAUGGCAUCUCUUGCUGUUGCAGAACCCAUCAACAGGGGAUACUUGGCCCAACCUUAGCACCAAAAACCACCUGGGUGUACCCUACAAUGCAAAAGGGCCUAUAUUUAGAAUCACGGAAUUAGGGUUGGAAAAAACCACUAAGAUCAUCUAGUCCAACUAUCAACCCAUCCCACUAUGCCCACUAAUCAUGUCCCCAAGUGCCACAUCUCCAUGGCUCUUGAACGCCUCCUGGGACAGUGACUCCACCAUUUCAACCCUAAAUCCCGUGCUGUGUACUAAAGGCAGCCCUCUGUUUCCUGUUUGGACCUGCUGUGCCAUGUAGACCUCCUUCUGCUCUGAGCUCGUGUUGCAGCUUGGCCCCGCGCUCCCAUCUCAGGAGUUUCCUGAUGGAUCCCUCCCCAAAGCUUCAAACCAGAACUAGAGUUAAGAGGAGCCAACACUCCUUAUGGGGAGGUGCUGCAAGGCCAGAGGGACCCCAAGCAUCCCACUGCAUCUCCGAGGAUGCUCUGCCUUUCGCUGCUCAGUUAUUCCGCAGCCCAUCCAGACUCUACAAUGCCCUUUGGCAGAAGUUUAAUUAUGCAAAAUUGUUACGAAAAAGCAUUUCUUUUGCCUGGUUCACACGUCCUCCUUCCUGCCAGCCGCUCCCAGCCCUCAUCUUUGCUGCCUUCCUCUGCAUCUCCCCUUCUUUCUCGUUUCCUCUCUUUGCUUUCCAGUGGAGGGAACAGAUUUGUGAGCAGUAUUUAAGUAGCAGGUGAAUUAUUGAUCUGCUCAAUGACAAAUUGAUCUCUUCUGUUGUGUUUAACACUUUUAUUUUCCUCUAAAAAUUUCCACGCUCAAUUUACUUUUUAGGCCAUCACAGAUCGCUGAGGCGAUGUUUUCAUAACACGAUGGCUGUGCAAGGUCCAAGUUAUCUUUCCUGGGCAGUAACAGCUCAUUGAAGGCUCACGACUAUUUAAAGUACAAAUAGAUGGCUUCACCCGUGCUCAUCAUUUUGCACAUUUCCUGGAUUCCCUCUUAUUUUACUGUCCAGAGGUGUUCGGCUGCAGCUUUUCACCAUCAGCUCUGACUAUUGAGGUGUUUGGGGCCCUUUUCAGUAUUAUCCUCUUUUGCACAUUCAGGCUCUGAUCCCACACCUCGACCCUCCCCGGCCCUCCACAGCUCCUGCUGCUGAGAUGAUAGACAAAAAGGGUCAAUUAUGCGAUUUCUAUACCUUAGAAAGCUGCUAAUAAAAAAAGGGCUCCCCUUUAUCGUAGUUUUAAGUUUAAUUUGUCAUCUUGUGCUCUUU